GAUGAACGCUAGCGGCAGGCUUAACACAUGCAAGUCGAGGGGUAUGCCGAUUUAUCGGCAGAGACCGGCGCACGGGUGCGUAACGCGUAUGCAAUCUACCUUUCACAGAGGAUAGCCCAGAGAAAUUUGGAUUAAUACCUCAUAGUAUAGCGGUUUCGCAUGAAACCACUAUUAAAGUUCCAACGGUGAAAGAUGAGCAUGCGUCCCAUUAGCUAGAUGGUAAGGUAACGGCUUACCAUGGCUACGAUGGGUAGGGGUCCUGAGAGGGAGAUCCCCCCACACUGGUACUGAGACACGGACCAGACUCCUACGGGAGGCAGCAGUGAGGAAUAUUGGUCAAUGGACGCAAGUCUGAACCAGCCAUGCCGCGUGCAAGGAUGGACGGUUCCCUAAUGGGAUUGUAAACUGCUUUUGUACAGGAGGAAACACUACUUCGUGAAGUAGCUUGACGGUACUGUAAGAAUAAGGAUCGGCUAACUCCGU
rnacentral:rRNA from 1 species